rnacentral:misc_RNA from 1 species
ACUCACGGUAUGCCGCAUCGAUGAAGAACGCAGCGAAAUGCGAUACGUAAUGUGAAUUCCAGAAUUCAGUGAAUCAUCGAGUCUUUGAACGCACAUUGCGCCCCUGGUAUUCCGGGGGGCAUGCCUGUCCGAGCGUCAUUUCAACCAUCAAGCCCCCGGGCUUGUGUUGGGGACCUGCGGCCGCCGCAGGCCCCGAAAAGCAGUGGCGGGCUCGCUGUCACCCCGAGCGUAGUAGCAAUCACCUCGCUCAGGGCGUGCUGUGGGCACCGGCCGUUAAAACCAACGUACCAACGUACCCCCAAAGGUUGACCUCGGAUCAGGUAGGAAUACCCGCUGAACUUAA